rnacentral:rRNA from 1 species
AUUGAACGCUGGCGGCAGGCCUAACACAUGCAAGCCGAGCGGUUGACGGGAGCUUGCUCCCUGAUUCAGCGGCGGACGGGUGAGUAAUGCCUAGGAAUCUGCCUAUUAGUGGGGGACAACGUUUCGAAAGGAACGCUAAUACCGCAUACGUCCUACGGGAGAAAGCAGGGGACCUUCGGGCCUUGCGCUAAUAGAUGAGCCUAGGUCGGAUUAGCUUGUUGGUGAGGUAAUGGCUCACCAAGGCGACGAUCCGUAACUGGUCUGAGAGGAUGAUCAGUCACACUGGAACUGAGACACGGUCCAGACUCCUACGGGAGGCAGCAGUGGGGAAUAUUGGACAAUGGGCGAAAGCCUGAUCCAGCCAUGCCGCGUGUGUGAAGAAGGUCUUCGGAUUGUAAAGCACUUUAAGUUGGGAGGAAGGGUUGUAGAUUAAUACUCUGCAAUUUUGACGUUACCGACAGAAUAAGCACCGGCUAACCCUGUGCCAGCCGCCGCAGUAACAC